rnacentral:rRNA from 1 species
UACGUAGGGAGCAAGCGUUGUUCGGAUUUACUGGGCGUAAAGGGCGCGUAGGCGGCCAGCACAAGUCAGUUGUGAAAUCUCCGAGCUUAACUCGGAAAGGUCAACUGAUACUGUGCGGCUAGAGUGCGGAAGGGGCAACUGGAAUUCUUGGUGUAGCGGUGAAAUGCGUAGAUAUCAAGAGGAACACCUGCGGCGAAGGCGGGUUGCUGGGCCGACACUGACGCUGGAUGCGGCGAAAGCUAGGGGAGCAAAUGGG